rnacentral:rRNA from 1 species
AUAGUGAACCAGUACCGUGAGGGAAAGGCGAAAAGAACCCCUGUGAGGGGAGUGAAAUAGAACCUGAAACCGUCUACGUACAAGCAGUGGGAGCCCCAUCACUAAGACACUUCAUCUUAGUGAGACGCUAUCACUUUGUUGACUGGGUUAACCACGCGCAGCGUGGGUCAACCGCCCAAUCCAGCAGAGGUGACUUAGUGAUGGGGUGACCGCGUACCUUUUGUAUAAUGGGUCAGCGACUUAAUGUAAGUAGCCAGGUUAACCGCAUAGGGGAGCCGUAGGGAAACCGAGUCUUAACU